rnacentral:lncRNA from 1 species
AUAGGAGGAGAACUUAAGAUGUGCAGAUGUACAAUUACUUGCCUCAAGUCCCACUGGAGCUGAGGUACGAACCACGAUCUCCCGAGAUUCUGAUGUAGCAUCUGGACCGUAAACCUGUAAGGAGCAGUCACAGUGUCUCCUCUCCCCAAGUCUUAGUACUCCAGAUAUUCUGAUUUUCUCAGCUGGAGACAAGGAUGCUAGGCAGCUUUGUCUGGACAAGCGUACAUAAGGAUCCAUGUGAAGAUAAAAGGUAUCAAGAGAUCUGCUCCAAGGAAAAGAAUUGUGACCAGUUACCCAAAAUUCUUGUAGUAGUACCUCAGAAAACUGGUGAGAAACACAUGGGAAAGGUGCAGUCGGAAAUUCAGCGACGCCUCCGCGGAGUAGAAGGAAGAUCCAUUCUUCAAUCACUAAUAAUAUCCAUGGACUAA